UAAGGCCUUUAAGUGGGUAAACAGAGC
rnacentral:piRNA from 1 species